rnacentral:rRNA from 1 species
GAUGAACGCUGGCGGCGUGCCUAACACAUGCAAGUCGAGCGAACAGACGAGGAGCUUGCUCCUCUGACGUUAGCGGCGGACGGGUGAGUAACACGUGGAUAACCUACCUAUAAGACUGGGAUAACGUCGGGAAACCGGAGCUAAUACCAGAUAAUAUAUUGAACCGCACGGUUUAAUAGUGAAAGACGGUUUUACUGUCACCUAUAGACGGACCCGCGCCGCAUUAGCUAGUUGGUAAGGUAACGGCUUACCAAGGCAACGAUGCGUAGCCGACCUGAGAGGGUGAUCGGCCACACUGGAACUGAGACACGGUCCAGACUCCUACGGGAGGCAGCAGUAGGGAAUCUUCCGCAAUGGGCGAAAGCUUGACGGAGCAACGCCGCGUGAGUGAUGAAGGUCUUCGGAUCGUAAAACUCUGUUAUUAGGGAAGAACAAAUGUGUAAGUAACUAUGCACGUCUUGACGGUACCUAAUCAGAAAGCCACGGCUAACUACGUG